CCUACGGGUGGCAGCAGUGAGGAAUAUUGGUCAAUGGGCGGAAUCCUGAACCAGCCAUGCCGCGUGCAGGACGACGGCUCUACGAGUUGUAAACUGCUUUUGUACCGGGGUAAAAUGCCUUACGUGUAGGUUUUUGAAUGUACGGUACGAAUAAGGAUCGGCUAACUCCGUGCCAGCAGCCGCGGUAAUACGGAGGAUCCGAGCGUUAUCCGGAUUCAUUGGGUUUAAAGGGAGCGUAGGUGGUUUUAUAAGUUAGUUGUGAAAUUUCGAGGCUCAACAGCGAGGUUGCCAUUGAUACUGGCGGACUAGAGUACAGAUGCAGCAGGCGGAAUGCGUAGUGUAGCGGUGAAAUGCAUAGAUAUCACGCAGAACACCGAUUGCGAAGGCAGCUUGCUAGGCCGGAACUGACACUGAUGCACGAAAGUGUGGGGAUCGAACAGGAUUAGAUACCCCGGUAGUC
rnacentral:rRNA from 1 species